GUUUGAUCCUGGCUCAGGAUGAACGCUGGCGGCGUGCUUAACACAUGCAAGUCGAACGAACCUUCGGGUUAGUGGCGGACGGGUGAGUAACGCGUGGGAAUCUGCCCUCAGGAGGGGGAUAACGGCUGGAAACGGCCGCUAAUACCCCAUAUGCCGAGAGGUGAAAGGAAAUUCGCCUGAGGAUGAGCCCGCGUCUGAUUAGCUAGUUGGUGGGGUAAGAGCUUACCAAGGCGACGAUCAGUAGCUGGUCUGAGAGGAUGAUCAGCCACACUGGGACUGAGACACGGCCCAGACUCCUACGGGAGGCAGCAGUGGGGAAUUUUCCGCAAUGGCGAAAGCCUGACGGAGCAACGCCGCGUGAGGGAUGAAGGCCUCUGGGCUGUAAACCUCUUUUCUCAAGGAAGAAGACAUGACGGUACUUGAGGAAUAAGCCACGGCUAAUUCCGUGCCAGCAGCCGCGGUAAUACGGGAGUGGCAAGCGUUAUCCGGAAUUAUUGGGCGUAAAGCGUCCGCAGGCGGCCCUGUAGGUCUGUCGUUAAAGCGUGGAGCUUAACUCCAUUUAAGCGAUGGAAACUACAGGGCUUGAGUGUGGUAGGGGCAGAGGGAAUUCCCGGUGUAGCGGUGAAAUGCGUAGAUAUCGGGAAGAACACCAGUGGCGAAGGCGCUCUGCUGGGCCAUAACUGACGCUCAUGGACGAAAGCCAGGGGAGCGAAAGGGAUUAGAUACCCCUGUAGUCCUGGCCGUAAACGAUGAACACUAGGUGUCGGGGGAAUCGACCCCCUCGGUGUCGUAGCCAACGCGUUAAGUGUUCCGCCUGGGGAGUACGCACGCAAGUGUGAAACUCAAAGGAAUUGACGGGGGCCCGCACAAGCGGUGGAGUAUGUGGUUUAAUUCGAUGCAACGCGAAGAACCUUACCAGGGUUUGACAUCCUGCGAAUCCCUUGGAAACGAGGGAGUGCCUUCGGGAGCGCAGAGACAGGUGGUGCAUGGCUGUCGUCAGCUCGUGUCGUGAGAUGUUGGGUUAAGUCCCGCAACGAGCGCAACCCACGUCUUUAGUUGCCAGCAUUCAGUUGGGCACUCUAGAGAGACCGCCGGUGAUAAACCGGAGGAAGGUGUGGAUGACGUCAAGUCAUCAUGCCCCUUACAUCCUGGGCUACACACGUACUACAAUGCUACGGACAAAGGGCAGCAAGCUCGCGAGAGUUAGCAAAUCCCAUAAACCGUGGCUCAGUUCAGAUCGUAGGCUGCAACUCGCCUACGUGAAGGAGGAAUCGCUAGUAAUCGCAGGUCAGCAUACUGCGGUGAAUACGUUCCCGGGCCUUGUACACACCGCCCGUCACACCAUGGAAGUUGGCCAUGCCCGAAGUCGUUACUCCAACCCG
rnacentral:rRNA from 1 species